UGAGGAAUAUUGGACAAUGGAUGGAAAUCUGAUCCAGCCAUGCCGCGUGCAGGAAGACGGCCCUAUGGGUUGUAAACUGCUUUUAUACGGGAGCAAUAAGGUCUAUGCAUAGAUUGAUGAGAGUACCGUAUGAAUAAGCAUCGGCUAACUCCGUGCCAGCAGCCGCGGUAAUACGGAGGAUGCGAGCGUUAUCCGGAUUUAUUGGGUUUAAAGGGUGCGUAGGCGGCUUUGUAAGUCAGCGGUGAAAUUUUGCAGCUUAACUGUAAAAGCGCCGUUGAUACUGUGAAGCUAGGAUUUGGUUGCUGUGGGCGGAAUGUGUGGUGUAGCGGUGAAAUGCAUAGAGAUCACACAGAAUAUCGAUUGCGAAGGCAGCUCACAAAGCCAAUAUUGACGCUGAGGC
rnacentral:rRNA from 1 species